CUACUCUCUUUCGUUACAUAAUAUAAUUGUUUGAAGCUUGGGCAGUAGCCAUGUGAUGUUGGAGCUCUUGAUUAAAGUGUUUUAAAGUUGAUUUUGGAGGGAGCAUUAGCUCCCUGGAAUGAGCUUGAUCUUUGUUCAUCUUGUUAUGUUAAGUGUCGCUUCUAUGAUUCCAAGAGUUGGAGCUUUACUAAUCUGAAAUUACCCUAUGUGUUUGGCUAAGAAUGUUGAUCCCUUGAUUAUUAAAGCUUGCUACUUGUGUGAGGCUGAAAUUAGUGUAAUUACACUUGUGCCACUAAGUUCUUGUACUAUGUUGUGAUUGUUCUAAACAUGAUGCAAGAUAAUGUGUUGGGGUGUGGGGGUGUUUACCUCUCGGUCUCACGGCUGCUUUGAGAAACUCUGCCUCUGGCCUCAGUUUUUCUCCCUCUCACACUUGCUACUGCUUGUUCUUGGUUCUCCCUAGAGUUUUGCUGAAUUUUUUGAUGUGUAGGAGGGUGUUCAAGGUGAUGUGGAGUUGUUUAUAGGCGAAGUGUGGUGUACUCGUGAGGCCUUAAAUGGUUGUUGUACCAUUUGUUGUUAUGCUGCAGUAAAUCUCACUUUUAGUGAUCACACUGCCUCUCCUUCAUGGCUGCAACUUGGUAUUUUAUGGGUACCUAGUACUAGUUAGUAAUUGGAAUUGUUUGAUUGUGCAGAGAAGCAGGUGGCUGUUGUGCCAAAGGUGCUGCAGGGCUGACUUGCCUCUUAUGGUGAUUCUUUGGUCAUCUAUAACUAAAGAAAAGUUGUCUCCAUCCCUAUGGUCGAGAAAAGCUUGGUUGCCAAGCUGCUGUCCAGGACAGCUUGAUACCCUGGCCCCAACGGCUGAUCGGAAAACGGGCCGCAACUUUCGGCUCGGAAGAAGAGACCCGAUGCCAUUUGUUCCAUGCACAUUUUAUCUUUCCCUUUCUUUGUUUCCUUUAUUGGAAGCCUUGUUCUAAGUAUUGUAGUAUUUUGAAAAUUAGUUGUUCGUUUAUUGUAUAAGAAUUGCUAUUCGAAAAUUCAUGACAUUCUACAAUGUAAAUUCCAAUUGUUUAGUUCA